rnacentral:rRNA from 1 species
GAUUAACGCUGGCGGCGUGCCUAACACAUGCAAGUCGAACGAAGUGGCGGACGGGUGAGUAACGCGUGAGUAACCUGCCUUAGAGAAGGGGAUAGCAUUUGGAAACGAAGAAUAAUACCCUAUACUCAAAUAUGGACUUGCGGCCGAUUAGUUAGUUGGUGAGGUAACGGCCCACCAAGACAGCGAUCAGUAGCCGGCUUGAGAGAGUGUACGGCAACAUUGGGACUGAGACACGGCCCAGACUCUACGGGAGGCAGCAGUGGGGAAUUUUUCACAACGGGGGAAACCCUGAUGCAGCGACGCCGCGUGAUUUAGAAGGCCUUCGGGUUGUAAAAAUCUUUUCUAUGGGAAGCAGUACCAUAGGAAUAAGCACCGGCUAAUUACGUGCCAGCAGCCGCGGUAAUUC